GAAGUGCUUCGGUCAGGCAGUAUCUUUGAAAAUAAUUUGGCCAAUGAAAGCCCUGGCAUUGGAUGAAAGUGCUAGCUGCUGGGAAUGCUACCCCUCCUUUUGGUUCUCUUUCAAGUCCUUCAGGUUCAAACAAUACAGAAGUGUAUAAAGUAAGAAUUGAAAGUCUCUUCGCUGCUCUAAUCUCACUCCUCAGAGGUGAUCACUGAUUAUCAUCCCAGAGCCCUCCCUGAAGCCCACACACAGCUUCUUCAGGAAAUGCUGACAGCAUGGACCUGAGUGAGCAGAAGGCUUUUCAGAAUUACAGCCUGAACUAUUUCUUGAGCAAUUUGGGAACUCAUUUCUAAAGCAGUCCUCAGAUUCACACAACGUAGUUUGUGACGGAGUAUGCCCAGAGCAGCUGUCUUGUUGAUGGGGGUGCACCCUGACGAAUGGUGUGCUGGCAAAGAUUUAACAAAAGGCUCCAGAGGAGGGCAGACUUGAAGUGGAGCCUUCAGUGGGCAGUGUGAAGGGUGCUGAUUUCAAACAACUCAUCUGGUAUGACUGAACAUGAAGUUGGGAAGAGAUGUGCAUAAUUGAAGUGGGUGAGAGCCAGUCCAGCACCCUGCAGAGAGUGUGGAAGAUGAUCAAAGUAUGACAUUUCUUCUACCCCAGAGGCUGGCAUUUCUGCAGGCACAAAUGAGCUUGGUUUUCAAGCACUGCUCUUUGAACACAAGGAAUUCCUUUAAUGAUCACGCCGGACUAUAUAGACUUUGGAAUCAGACUCUUUGAAUUCCAGCUCUGCCAUUUACCAACUUU
rnacentral:lncRNA from 1 species